ACCUUAAACCCUACUAACCUUAAACCCUAUUAUUUUCCUAAACCCUUUCUAACCCUAAACCCUACCUAACCCUAAACCCUACCUAACCCGUGCUUGGGAGUCCCUGAUGAUUAAAUAAACCAAGGAUUUUACACCCUACCUAACCCUAAACCCUACCUACCCUAAAUCCUUUCUAACCCUAAACCCUACCUAACCCUAAACCCCUUCUAACCCUAAACCCUUUCUAACCCUAAACCUUACCUGACCCUAAAUCCCUUCUAACCCUAAACCUGACCUAACCCUACCUAACCCUUUCUAGCCUUAAAUCAUACUAACCCUAAACCCUUUCUAACCCUAAACCAUGCUAACCCUAAACCCUACCUAAUUCUAAACCCUACCUAACCCUAAACCCUACUAACUCUAA
rnacentral:lncRNA from 1 species